UCAGAAAGCCACGGCUAACUACGUGCCAGCAGCCGCGGUAAUACGUAGGUGGCAAGCGUUAUCCGGAAUUAUUGGGCGUAAAGCGCGCGUAGGCGGUUUUUUAAGUCUGAUGUGAAAGCCCACGGCUCAACCGUGGAGGGUCAUUGGAAACUGGAAAACUUGAGUGCAGAAGAGGAAAGUGGAAUUCCAUGUGUAGCGGUGAAAUGCGCAGAGAUAUGGAGGAACACCAGUGGCGAAGGCGACUUUCUGGUCUGUAACUGACGCUGAUGUGCGAAAGCGUGGGGAUCAAACAGGAUUA
rnacentral:rRNA from 1 species